rnacentral:rRNA from 1 species
AAGUUGUUGCGGUUAAAAGCUCGUAGUUCGAGCUCAGUUCCGGACUGGCCGGGGAGGUCACCGCCCGGUGCUUCCCCGUCAGGCUCCGAACAGCCUUCGUGAGCGGAGGCCAAGCCGGUUCUGCCGGGGUGCUCUUUACCGAGUGUCCCGCGCGGCCGGCCAGUUCACCUUGAAUAAAUGAGAGUGCUCAAAGCAGGCUACUCUCGAAUACAAUGCCCGAAUGUUACCUGCAUGGAAUGAUGGAAGAUGAUCUCGGUUCCAUUUUAUUGGUGGUGGGAGCCCGAGGUAAUGAUAAACAGGGACUGUCGGGGGCAUCCGUACUACGACGCGAGAGGUGAAAUUCAGUGACCGUCGUAGGACGAACAACAGCGAAAGCAUUUGCCAAGAAUGUCUUCGUUGAUCAAGAACGAAAGUUAGAGGAUCGAAGGCGAUCAGAUACCGCCCUAGUUCUAACCCUAAACGAUGCUGACUAGCAAUUCGCCGUCGUUAUUCCCAUGACGUGGCGAGACGCCCCCGGGAAACCUCAAGUCUUUGAGUUCCGGGGGUAGUAUGGUUGCAAAACUGAAACUUAAAGGAAUUGACGGAAGGGCACCACCAGGAGUGGAGCCUGCGGCUUAAUUUGACUCAACACGGGAAACCUCACCAGGCCCGGACACCAGAAGGAUUGACAGAUUAAGAGCUCUUUCUCGAUUUGGUGGGUGGUGGUGCAUGGCCGUUCUUAGUUGGUGGAGUGAUUUGUCUGGUUAAUUCCGGUAACGAACGAGACUCUGGCCUACUAAAUAGUCGACGGGCGUUUUGGUGCAUGGGCCCCGUUCGACACAGUCUUCUUAGAGGGAUGAGCAGCGAGUAUAGCUGCAGGAGAUUGAGCAAUAACAGGUCUGUGAUGCCCUUAGAUGUCCUGGGCCGCACGCGCGCUACACUGAAUGGGUUAGCGGGUUGUCCUUCUCCGAGAGGAGCGGGAAAUCGCUUGAAAACCAUUCGUGAUAGGGAUUGGGGCUUGCAAUUGUUUCCCAUGAACGAGGAAUUCCCAGUAAGCGCAAGUCAUCAGCUUGCGUUGAUUAAGUCCCUGCCCUUUGUACACACCGCCCGUCGCUACUACCGAUUGAAUGAUUUAGUGAGGCCUUCGGACUGGCGGUCUUGGACUGGGGCGCCGGCGUUCUCCAGCAAUGGGGUGCCGGCGACCCGCCUAGACGGGCCGGAAAGAUGUCCAAACUUGAUCAUUUAGAGGAAGUAAAAGUCGUAACAAGGUUUCCGUAGGUGACUG